AGGAUGGUGUUUUGACAUGGAACGGAACAACUAUACCAGCAACAUUUGAAAAACAACUGAAAGUAUUUGGCCAGAUUUCUUUCCAAGAUUUAGAUGGAGAUUUAACAGUUGACCCGUUCUUACCAGGCUGUUUAGACGAUGUGUGUGCUCAGAGUGUCCUGCUUGUCUACAAUGGCAAUAAGUGGGUGAACCUCCCUGUGAACUAAUGGACCUUCAUCCCCAGCCAGCCUUCUGGUCCCCUGCCCCUCCCCCCAACCCUGAGGGUGGGGGACUUCAACCUGGAUAGUCACCCUGAUCUUCUGGUUGUAGUGGGCAA